rnacentral:rRNA from 1 species
GCGAACGCUGGCGGCAGGCUUAACACAUGCAAGUCGAGCGGGCAUAGCAAUAUGUCAGCGGCAGACGGGUGAGUAACGCGUGGGAACGUACCUUUUGGUUCGGAACAACUGAGGGAAACUUCAGCUAAUACCGGAUAAGCCCUUACGGGGAAAGAUUUAUCGCCGAAAGAUCGGCCCGCGUCUGAUUAGCUAGUUGGUGAGGUAAUGGCUCACCAAGGCGACGAUCAGUAGCUGGUCUGAGAGGAUGAUCAGCCACAUUGGGACUGAGACACGGCCCAAAGCGAUAGGGGAGGAAGCGGGGGAGAAUACUGCAGGACGCGCGACGGGGUGGUCCAGCCGGGCGGGGGGGGAGAUGGAGGCGGGAGGGAUAAAGAGGUCUUUGGGGGGGAAAAAUAAUGGCGGCCGGGAAAAAAAAGCCCGCGGCAAAGAUCGCACAGGCAACGGCGCUGAGAAAGGGAAGAGAACACGGUUGGAC